GAUGAACGCUAGCGGCAGGCUUAAUACAUGCAAGUCGAGGGGCAGCAUGAUUGUAGCAAUACAAUUGAUGGCGACCGGCAAACGGGUGCGGAACACGUACACAACCUCCCAAUAAGUGGGGAAUAGCCCAGAGAAAUUUGGAUUAAUACCCCGUAACAUAACGAUGUGGCAUCACAUUGUUAUUAUAGAUUUUUCGCUUAUUGAUGGGUGUGCGGCUGAUUAGAUAGUUGGCGGGGUAACGGCCCACCAAGUCUACGAUCAGUAGCUGAUGUGAGAGAAUGGUCGGCCAUCCGGGCAGUGAGACACGGGCCCGGCUCCUGCGGGAGGCAGCAGUAAGGAAUAUGGGACAAUGGUCGCAAGUCUGAUCCAGCCAUGCCGCGUGAAGGAUUAAGGUCCUCUGGAUUGUAAGCUUCUUUUAUAAGGGACGAAAAAAGGCUUUUCUAAGGCGUCUGACGGUACCUUAUGAAUAAGCACCGGCUAACUCCGUGCCAGCCGCCGCCGUAACAC
rnacentral:rRNA from 1 species